rnacentral:tRNA from 2 species
CGGGGCGUAGCGCAGCGGUAGCGUAUCUGCUUUGGGAGCAGAUGGUCGCCGGUUCGAUCCCGGCCGCCCCGACCA